GAUGAACGCUGGCGGCGUGCUUAACACAUGCAAGUCGAACGAAGCACUUUUACAGAUUGCUUCGGAAUGAAGUUUUAGUGACUGAGUGGCGGACGGGUGAGUAACGCGUGGGUAACCUGCCUCACACAGGGGGAUAACAGUUGGAAACGGCUGCUAAUACCGCAUAAGCGCACAGUACCGCAUGGUACAGUGUGAAAAACUCCGGUGGUGUGAGAUGGACCCGCGUCUGAUUAGCUAGUUGGCAGGGCAACGGCCUACCAAGGCGACGAUCAGUAGCCGACCUGAGAGGGUGACCGGCCACAUUGGGACUGAGACACGGCCCAAACUCCUACGGGAGGCAGCAGUGGGGAAUAUUGCACAAUGGGGGAAACCCUGAUGCAGCGACGCCGCGUGAGCGAAGAAGUAUUUCGGUAUGUAAAGCUCUAUCAGCAGGGAAGAAGAAAUGACGGUACCUGACUAAGAAGCACCGGCUAAAUACGUGCCAGCAGCCGCGGUAAUACGUAUGGUGCAAGCGUUAUCCGGAUUUACUGGGUGUAAAGGGAGCGCAGGCGGAAGGCUAAGUCUGAUGUGAAAGCCCGGGGCUCAACCCCGGUACUGCAUUGGAAACUGGUCAUCUAGAGUGUCGGAGGGGUAAGUGGAAUUCCUAGUGUAGCGGUGAAAUGCGUAGAUAUUAGGAGGAACACCAGUGGCGAAGGCGGCUUACUGGACGAUAACUGACGCUGAGGCUCGAAAGCGUGGGGAGCAAACAGGAUUAGAUACCCUGGUAGUCCACGCCGUAAACGAUG
rnacentral:rRNA from 1 species